rnacentral:rRNA from 1 species
GUCUUAAACAUGCAAGUCGAACGGUAUUCCUUGAGCUUGCUUAGGGAAGAGAGUGGCGAACGGGUGAGUAACACGUGAAUAAUCUGCCUUUAGGUUCGGGAUAACUGUCCGAAAGGGUAGCUAAUACCGGAUAAGAUGGUAGCUGCACAGGCAGCAGCCAUUAAAGAUGGGGACCGCAAGGCCUAUCGCCUGAAGAUGAGUUCGCGGCUGAUUAGCUCGUUGGGGGGGUAAAGGCCUACCAAGGCAACGAUCAGUAGCCGGCCUGAGAGGGUGAACGGCCACAUUGGGACUGAGAUACGGCCCAGACUCCUACGGGAGGCAGCAGUAGGGAAUAUUGCGCAAUGGGGGGAACCCUGACGCAGCAACGCCACGUGUGGGAAGGAGCAUUUCGGUGUGUAAACCACUGUCGGAAAGGAAUAACGGAAGACUUCGGUCCUUAUGAAUGUACUUUUAGAGGAAGCACCGGCAAACUUCGUGCCAGCAGCCGCGGUAAUACGAGGGGUGCAAGCGUUGUUCGGAAUCACUGGGCGUAAAGGGAGCGUAGGCGGAAGUGCAAGCAAUCUGUAUAAUCCUGGGGCCCAACCCCAGUUCUGCAGAUUGGACUGUAUUUCUUGAAUAGUUCAGAGGCAAGCGGAAUUUCUGGUGUAGCGGUGGAAUGCGUAGAGAUCAGAAAGAACACCAAUGGCGAAGGCAGCUUGCUGGGGACUUAUUGACGCUGAGGCUCGAAAGUGUGGGUAGCAAACAGGAUUAGAUACCCUGGUAGUCCACACUGUAAACGAUGCAUACUGGGUGUCCGAAAUUCGUUUCGGGUACCGUAGCUAACGCGUUAAGUAUGCCGCCUGGGGAGUACGUACGCAAGUAUGAAACUCAAAGGAAUUGACGGGGACCCGCACAAGCAGCGGAGCAUGUGGUUUAAUUCGAAGCAACGCGAAGAACCUUACCAGGACUUGACAUACUAGUGCCAAAUGUAGAGAUACAUUAUUUCUUCGGAACACUAAUACAGGUGGUGCAUGGUUGUCGUCAGCUCGUGUCGUGAGAUGUUGGGUUAAGUCCCGCAACGAGCGCAACCCCUAUGUUUAUUUGCCAGCAUUUCGGAUGGGAACUAUAGACAGACUGCCGAUAAGAAAUCGGAGGAAGGUGGGGAUGACGUCAAAUCAUCAUGCCCUAUAUGUCCUGGGCUACACACGUGCUACAAUGGUCGUUACAGAGAGCAGCUACACAGUGAUGUCACGCGAAUCUCAAAAAGGCGAUCUCAGUUCGGAUUGUACUCUGCAACUCGAGUACAUGAAGUCGGAGUUGCUAGUAAUCGCAAAUCAGAAUGUUGCGGUGAAUGCGUUCCCGGGUCUUGUACACACCGCCCGUCAAG